CCUACGGGCGGCUGCAGUGGGGAAUAUUGGACAAUGGGGGCAACCCUGAUCCAGCCAUGCCGCGUGUGUGAAGAAGGCCCUCGGGUUGUAAAGCACUUUCAGUGAGGAAGAACGCCUGGUGGUUAAUACCCAUCAGGAAAGACAUCACUCACAGAAGAAGCACCGGCUAACUCCGUGCCAGCAGCCGCGGUAAUACGGAGGGUGCGAGCGUUAAUCGGAAUUACUGGGCGUAAAGCGCGCGUAGGUGGCUUGAUAAGCCGGUUGUGAAAGCCCCGGGCUCAACCUGGGAACGGCAUCCGGAACUGUCAAGCUAGAGUGCAGGAGAGGAAGGUAGAAUUCCCGGUGUAGCGAUGAAAUGCGUAGAGAUCGGGAGGAAUACCAGUGGCGAAGGCGGCCUUCUGGACUGACACUGACACUGAGGUGCGAAAGCGUGGGUAGCAAACAGGAUUAGAUACCCCAGUAGUC
rnacentral:rRNA from 1 species